rnacentral:rRNA from 1 species
UACGUAGGUGGCAAGCGUUGUCCGGAAUUAUUGGGCGUAAAGCGCGCGCAGGCGGCCUCUUAAGUCUGAUGUGAAAUCUUAGCGGGCUCAACCCGGCAAGCGGCCUAUUAGGAAACUGGGGGGCUUGAGUACAGAAGAGGAGAGUGGAAUUCCACGUGUAGCGGUAGAAAUGCGUAGAUAUGUGGAGGAACACCAGUGGCGAAGGCGACUGCUCUGGUCUGUAACUGACGCUGAAGGCGCGGAAAGCGUGGGGGAGCAAACAAGG